CAGUCGCCGCGGGAAUACGUAGGGUGCGAGCGUUAAUCGGAAUUACUGGGCGUAAAGCGUGCGCAGGCGGUUGUGUAAGACAGGUGUGAAAUCCCCGGGCUUAACCUGGGAACUGCGCUUGUGACUGCACAGCUAGAGUAUGGCAGAGGGGGGUGGAAUUCCACGUGUAGCAGUGAAAUGCGUAGAGAUGUGGAGGAACACCGAUGGCGAAGGCAGCCCCCUGGACAAAGACUGACGCUCAGGUGCGAAAGCGUGGGGAGCAAACAGGAUUAGAUACCCCCGUAGUCCCUGUCUCUUAUAC
rnacentral:rRNA from 1 species